UACGAGAGGACCGAAGCGAACGUACCUCUAGUGUACCAAUUGUCGCGCCAGCGGCAUCGUUGGGUAGCUAUGUACGGUUGUGAUAAGCGCUGAAAGCAUCUAAGCGCGAAGCACGCUUCAAGAUGAGGUAUCCCUCCUGACGCAAGUCGGGACUAAAGACUCCUCGGAGAUGACGAGGUUGAUAGGCUGCAGGUACAAGCUUUGUAAAAAGUUUAGCCGAGCAGUACUAAUAAGUCGUGAGGCUUAACCAUAUUUUUUAUUA
rnacentral:rRNA from 1 species